UAUUUUUUUUUAUUUUUAUUUUACAAAGAAGAACGCUAACAGGUGUGAACACCCAAAAGAAGCGCCCACUAAUAAUAUAAAAUAGACAAUGCUAACAAUCAGAAAUAAAUGAAACAAUGCUCACGAACAAUGUAAAGAACUACCCAAAUAUCCUCUUAACAGUUUUUUUGAAAGAACUUAAACUACCCCCCCGAAAAUAAAUCAAGGCUAUGUACAUAAGAAUUGCAUAGAUCUAACAUUCUCGAUAUAGGUGAAUACUUUGCACUGUUGGUUCUAUAGGUGGUCAGGUAAAAUACAGGAGGUCUCCUCAGAUUUCUAACAGGAACAUAAAAAUCAAUUGAAUCUAGAAUUUGAGGACAAUCAAUUUUAUUCGAUAGUAUUUUAUAGAUGAAAAUUAAAUCAUUCAUUAUUCUUCUGUCCUUUAAGCUAUUAAUUCGAAAAUGUCUCAAACGAACAAAGUAGUUAUCCGGAUUUCCAGGUAUCAGGUGAAAUCCCGUCUUAUAACUUAGAAACCUAAGAAACUUAGCUUGCACCCUUUCCAACCUUUCGAUAUAUACAUUAUAAUGAGGACACCAAACCGAAGAAGCAAAGUUGAGCUUGCUGUGAACAAAGGCAUAGUACAGCGCUAAAAUUGCCUCACGACUCUUGAAUUGACGGCAUUGCCUCAUAAUCCACCCAAGAACUCUAUUACUCGCACACACUAAACCAUUUAUAUGUUCAUCGAAGAUGAGCUUUGAAUCAAGCACAAUACCCAAAUCCCUGACAUAAUAUGCUACAUUA